GAUGAACGCUGGCGGCGUGCUUAACACAUGCAAGUCGAACGAUGAAGCUGGAGCUUGCUCCGGCGGAUUAGUGGCGAACGGGUGAGUAACACGUGAGCAAUCUGCCCUUGACUCUGGGAUAACUGCGGGAAACUGUAGCUAAUACCGGAUACGACGCCUUGGGGCAUCCCACGGGCGUGGAAAGAAUUUCGGUCAAGGAUGAGCUCGCGGCCUAUCAGCUUGUUGGUGAGGUAAUGGCUCACCAAGGCGA
rnacentral:rRNA from 1 species